rnacentral:rRNA from 1 species
GAGUGGCGGACGGGGGAGUAACGCGUGGGUAACCUGCCUCAUACAGGGGAGUAACAGUUAGAAAUGACUGCUAAUACCGCAUAAGACCACAGCACCGCAUGGUGCAGGGGUAAAAACUCCGGUGGUAUGAGAUGGACCCGCGUCUGAUUAGGUAGUUGGUGGGGUAACGGCCUACCAAGCCGACGAUCAGUAGCCGACCUGAGAGGGUGACCGGCCACAUUGGGACUGAGACACGGCCCAA